CAUGGUGCUGGUGGUGUAAAAGGUACUGGAGGAGGCUGGAAAGGGUUUGGAAAUAGUGGUGCUGGAGGUGUUGGAGGAGGCUGGAAGGGGUUUGGAAUUAGUGGAGCUGGAGGUGUAUGAGGAGGCUGAAAUGGAUUUGGAAUAAGAGGAGCUGAUGGAGGCUGAAAGGGGUUUGGAAUUAGUGGAGCUGGUGGAAGCUGAAAGGGAUUUGGAAUUAACGGAGCGGGAGGCGGCAGUAUGGGAGGAAGCAACGGUGGAGGCUGUAAGGGGUUAGAAAACAGUGGCGGAGGAAAAAAAGUGUUUGGAGGGAAGAAAAAGAUUCAAUGGCUUGAAGCUGAAAACUCCAGUUGAAAUAACAUGAAUUCCAUGCUUUCUCGACACCAGACAGAGUGCAUACGAAGAUGAUAUUCAGGCCAUCGCAUAGCAAUCCGGCUCACCGCUUCUAACCAAUUUAACCGAACAUCGUUGAUCCUCUUCACCCUUUUGCUAACCGAGAAAGGAAGCUGAACUUCGAAUUCACCAUGCUCAUUGGUUUUCACUUCCUGCACAAAACUCGGCCUUGAACUCGUC